GUCGCUGAUAAGAAUUCGUACUCUAAUAAGAAUUCUAUGCGUUAGAGCGAGCAAGUUAGAAACAUCGAAGUUUUCAUGGCAGUAUACAUACUGUGAAGAAAUGUCACUUUGUGAAAAUUUUUAAGAUUGCAAAACACCAGCGCCUUCAGUACAAUCUAAAGGUAUAUAUUGAGAUUUUAUAUAUGGGCGAUUCCACUGUCACGGGUUGGACAUUUGUACAGAAAAAAUUUUCUUUAUUGUUUAAAUUUAAGUAUAAAGUAC